CAGCGCCUCCCACCAGGCCACCAUGCGCCGCCGCGCCUCCCGCUGGGCCGCCACGCCACGCUGUGCCGAGCUACCUGCUAGGCCGCGGAGGAGGAUAACGGAAGAGGAACCGCCACAUCGAGUUGCCCGCUGGCUAGCCGCGCCGAGCCGUCAAGCCUCCCUCGGCGGCCUGGCCCGGCGGCGGCCGGCCGGGCCCCACGCUGCGCCGUGCCGAGCUGCCUGCCGGGCUGCGGAGGAGGAGAAUGGAAGACGAGGAGGCGCCGCGGAGAAACCGUCGCGUCGAGCCACCUGCUAGGCAGCCGCGCCGAGCCGCCAUAUCUCCCUCGGCGGCGCGGCCCGGUGGCGCGGCCGUGGUCUUGCGCCGGCGGCGGCUGCCGCGCCUGGGCCGCGGCUCGCGCUCCAUCCCUCGGGCAGCUUCUAGAAACGUAGUCUCCCUCGACCGGUCGACCCAUCACCGCUUCCCCGCCUUGCAGCCACACCCCUCCACGUGAUGGCCUGAUGGGCUCACCGGCGGCGCUCGUCCAAGCGGCAGCUGUGACUUGGGUCCCUAGCACUGGUGCUCCUCCCGUCAUCCACCGUGCGCUCCGAGUAUGGGCGCCGCGCGCUCCGCGCAGACAUUCCUGCUUCGCAAACUGCAGCCAGCCACCUGCAAGCAAGUACCAAAGCAAAGGGAUCCCCGAGCAAGAAGGUGACCGGCUCUGGUGCUGUGCAGCUCCCCCGCGCCCUUGUGCAAUGUCCCAUGCAGCAGAGUCCGUCGGUUACUGCCCCAGGAGUUCCAGUGGCCAUUGACAUGACUAAUGUCCAGCAGCUGCUCGAGGAAAUGCCUCUAUGGUCAGUACAUUUCCAAAUUUCUUGGGGAUUGGUAUACUUGUGGAAUCGAUUUGUGUCACUUGAUGGAUGAAAUUAAGCAUCAGUAAUGCUCAACAACAUAGCGGGCACCUCAUGGCACUUCCUAACUGCAAUGGCUCUCAUUUUUUUUUCCUAAAGUACAUGCAUCUCGAUAGACAAUCUGUAGAUGAUCAGCCAAAUUAAUAAAAGUUGCCAAACUGUGAUGAUUGUUGGCCUUUCUCUCCAUUCAUUCCUCUCAUCCUUCCUCAAACCCACCCUGGAUAUGCUUUUCCUGUGUUACAGUUUAAGUAGAAGAGAAAGAAUCUCCUUACAUGCUCUUCUUCAUUUGCUUCCAUGCCCCUUGAUUACAAGUUGAAAAUUAAAAUGUCAAUGUAGCAUAUACAUUUUUUAUUAAGACUGAGUCCUGAGUGGAAAACACAAUCCCUAAACUUAAUUGUGCAGGAACAAUGCAUAUUGUGCCAGAGCACUCAUUGAGGUUGCUCCUUAUGCUAAAAUAACUGAAAAUUGAUAAACAAAUUAUCUAAUUGUUUUGUCAGCAAUUACUUUACUUUUCAUCCAUUUCUUCAAUUUCCAGCACGCAAUCUUCUUGAUCUUGAGUAUAUUGUCUCUGGCCCCAACUUUGGCCUGCUCCUCAGUAGCCAGUUUAUUCAACAAAGCAAAAUAGUCGACGGAUUGUCCAACUAGCAUACGGGAUGGAUCUAAGGCCCACCUAUCAAUGAUAUAAGAUGGACAAACCUAAAGCUUACUUGCUUUAGCAAUAGGUAUAGAUUACUUACUUCUUCCAAUCUAUCUGCUAUCACGGGCAUGUUUAAUUUCUGGCUAACAUCUCUGCUAAUUUCUUUUCAGGUAGAAAAUAAAACAUGUACUUUAAGUUGUAUAGUAAGCUGUUCAGAGCAUCUUUAUUAAAAGUUUCUAUAUAUGGAUCAAUAUGUUUUCCAAUUCGCUUGACCACCAUGUGCUGUUGCAAUGUUUCAGAGGUACAAAUUUAUUUUCAAAUUCUGAAGCUUUUCGUUUCUGCAGAAUGGCUUCACCACUGGGAGCUCCGAUCCUGACGAUUCCGGCCACAAGAGGAUGGGGUUCAAGCAUUGAACUACAGUACAAACAAAUUAUUACUUAUUCAAAUAAUAAUUUAAACUAAAUUAUCCAAGAAAGAAUUUAUAUUGCUGCUAUCUACAGCUUCCUCUGUAGCCAGUUUAUUCAACAAAGCAAAACAGUCAAUGCAGGUCACUAAUAUUUAAUUUGGUUCAAGUAUCACUAUAUUCAGAGUUAUGUAUAUUUCUGUAAUUUGAGCGCUGGCCUUCCAUCUCCGCCUGGCUCUCCUUUUUUUAAUCUCUACUUAUAUUCACUAAUGUUGCAAUUCACUUGCGGAGCUGUCGCUAUUUCUCAAUGCACGGUGUCACAGACGGCAGAUCACAGAGCACAGAUGGCAAAGACAGGACCUCUUAAGCCCCAACACAAUCUAUAUGUAAGCACGAAGAAUGUGCUGCAUCUAUACUACGAUAUCUAAUAAUUUAUGUAAUCUUUGAGUCUAAGAGUUCAUAUAAAUCAGUAUGAAUUAUAUAGCUUUGUUCAUGAAAAGUCAUUCAUAUUCACACA